CUUUUGGUGGAGGAACCAAACUCGUCGUUGACUCUGGCUCCAUGGUCAGGCCCUCAGUCUCUCUGCUUCCCCCGUCCUCUGAGCAGCUCUCCGGGGGCUCGGCCACGCUGGCCUGCCUGCUGACCGGCUACUCUCCUCAGGGAGCCGUGGUGAGCUGGGAGGUGGACGGUACAGAGGUGACAGAGGGGGUCCUGGCCAGCUCAGAGGAGGAGAAGAGCGGACGCUACAGCAGCAGCAGCACCCUGAGCCUGAGCCAGGAGCGCUGGAUGGAAGGAGAGCUGUACUCCUGCAGGGUCCUCCAUCAUGGCCACAGCCAGAUCCAGUCCCUCCGCAGGAGCAAGUGUCAGGGCUAGAGGGUCUGACUGAAGCCCAGGACAGGAGCUGUGUCUGGGGGGAGCAGGAGGAACACCCCUGCUGCUCUCAUCAAUAUGCGUUUUAAUGUUUGUAGAGGGAAGUGAAGCUUUGUGUGACAGAGAACAACACUGCUGCAAAGUGUUGGACAGCAACAACUCAGAGAGUAAUGUGCGGAGCUCAGCAGCUGGAUGUGAGUGUGCUUAAUAACUGUCAUGUUGAUGACUCAUGUUUUUACUAAUAAAGCUUGAACCGAUGAAUAACAUGA